UACGUCGGGCGCACGCGUUGUCCGGAAUUAUUGGGCGUAAAGAGCUCGUAGGCGGCUUGUCACGUCGGAUGUGAAAGCCCGGGGCUUAACCCCGGGUCUGCAUUCGAUACGGGCAGGCUAGAGUUCGGUAGGGGAGAUCGGAAUUCCUGGUGUAGCGGUGAAAUGCGCAGAUAUCAGGAGGAACACCGGUGGCGAAGGCGGAUCUCUGGGCCGAUACUGACGCUGAGGAGCGAAAGCGUGGGGAGCGAACAGG
rnacentral:rRNA from 1 species